rnacentral:rRNA from 1 species
GGGCGACCCUAAACUCUGAUAGCAUCUUACACCCGCUAUCCGCCCGGGAACUACGAGCACUAGCUUAAAACCCAAAGGACUUGGCGGUGCUUUAGACCCCCCUAGAGGAGCCUGUUCUAGAACCGAUAACCCCCGAUUAACCUCACCCUCUUUUGCUUUUUCCGCCUAUAUACCGCCGUCGUCAGCUUACCCUGUGAAGGACAAAUAGUAAGCAUAACUAGUAAAACCCAAAACGCCAGGUCGAGGUGUAGCACAUGAGAGGGGAAGAAAUGGGCUACAUUUCCUGCCCCAGGAAAUCACGAAUAAUGUGAUGAAACACACAUUAGAAGGAGGAUUUAGCAGUAAGUGGAGAAUAGAGAGCCCCACUGAAACCGGCCCUGAAGCGCGCACACACCGCCCGUCUCCCCAUCAAAA